rnacentral:rRNA from 1 species
GAUGAACGCUGGCGGCGUGCCUAAUACAUGCAAGUCGAGCGAACAGACGAGGAGCUUGCUCCUCUGACGUUAGCGGCGGACGGGUGAGUAACACGUGGAUAACCUACCUAUAAGACUGGGAUAACUUCGGGAAACCGGAGCUAAUACCGGAUAAUAUAUUGAACCGCAUGGUUCAAUGGUGAAAGACGGUUUUGCUGUCACUUAUAGAUGGAUCCGCGCCGCAUUAGCUAGUAGGUAAGGUAACGGCUUACCAAGGCAACGAUGCGUAGCCGACCUGAGAGGGUGAUCGGCCACACUGGAACUGAGACACGGUCCAGACUCCUACGGGAGGCAGCAGUAGGGAAUCUUCCGCAAUGGGCGAAAGCCUGACGGAGCAACGCCGCGUGAGUGAUGAAGGUCUUCGGAUCGUAAAACUCUGUUAUUAGGGAAGAACAAAUGUGUAAGUAACUAUGCACGUCUUGACGGUACCUAAUCAGAAAGCCACGGCUAACUACGUG